AGAGUUUGAUCCUGGCUCAGGAUAAACGCUGGCGGCGUGCCUAACACAUGCAAGUCGAACGCCCUACUUCGGUAGGGAGUGGCGGACGGGUGAGGAACACGUGGGUCAUCUACCUUUCGGUGAGGAAUACCGGCGAGAAAUCGCCGACAAUACCGCAUACGUUUGGAGACAAAGAAAGCUGAGCAAUCAGUGCCGAAAGA
rnacentral:rRNA from 1 species